UACGUAGGGUCCGAGCGUUGUCCGGAAUUACUGGGCGUAAAGAGCUCGUAGGUGGUUUGUCGCGUUGUUCGUGAAAACUCACAGCUCAACUGUGGGCGUGCGGGCGAUACGGGCAGACUAGAGUACUGCAGGGGAGACUGGAAUUCCUGGUGUAGCGGUGGAAUGCGCAGAUAUCAGGAGGAACACCGGUGGCGAAGGCGCGAGACUGGGCCAUAACUGACGCUGAGGAACGAAAGCCAGGGGAGCGAAAGGG
rnacentral:rRNA from 1 species